rnacentral:rRNA from 1 species
GGGUCAGUAGGUUGGUCGUGCCACCGGUACGUACUGGUCUCACCGAUUCCUCCUUCCUGAAGAACCGUAAUGCCGUUAAUUUGGUGUUGCGGGGAAACAGGACUGUUACUUUGAAAAAAUUAGAGUGUUUAAAGCAAGCUAACGCUUGAAUACAUUAGCAUGGAAUAAUGAAAUAGGACGAUCGAUCCUAUUUUGUUGGUUUCUAGGAUUGACGUA